CCUACGGGCGGCAGCAGUGAGGAAUAUUGGUCAAUGGACGCAAGUCUGAACCAGCCAUGCCGCGUGCAGGAAGACGGCUCUAUGAGUUGUAAACUGCUUUUGUACGAGGGUAAACUCAGAUACGCGUAUCUGUCUGAAAGUAUCGUACGAAUAAGGAUCGGCUAACUCCGUGCCAGCAGCCGCGGUAAUACGGAGGAUUCAAGCGUUAUCCGGAUUUAUUGGGUUUAAAGGGUGCGUAGGCGGUCGGAUAAGUUAGUGGUGAAAUCCCGAGGCUCAACUUCGGAAUUGCCUCUGAUACUGUUAGGCUAGAGAGUAGUUGCGGUAGGCGGAAUGUAUGGUGUAGCGGUGAAAUGCUUAGAGAUCAUACAGAACACCGAUUGCGAAGGCAGCUUACCAAGCUACGUCUGACGUUGAGGCACGAAAGCGUGGGGAGCAAACAGGAUUAGAUACCCGAGUAGUC
rnacentral:rRNA from 1 species